AAUUAUUUUAUUCAUUAGUUGGUGUCAGCUAUUCUCAAAUUUUCACUUCCCAUUUGAAACUCUAAAACUCCCUUGAAACAUUUUCUUCCAAAUUCUCUUCCGGACAGAAGAGAAAAAGCCCUCUCUUCUCCUAACCAUGAAAUUUGAUUUAGGGUUUUGUACUACACACAAAUAAGAAUAGCCAAGACAAACAUAUUCUUCAAUUCAUCUUAUUCUUCUUUUUUGUUGGGUGAAAGAUUGAGUUUUUUAGGGUUUUGAUUUGGUUUUUUUCAAGGGCUCUGGAGAAGACGGACAGUUGGGAAUCAUCAACAACAAAGAGAAAUAAUGGGUUUGCACAAUGAAAUCUCUUGAGUCUCAACACAUCCGUUAUGUAGUUGCCGGAAGUCGCAAUUCACUCACUGUUUGUGAAGAUUGCAAGUUUUUUACUUUAGGUUGGAACCAAAGAGGAACUUUAGGACAUCCCUGAGACUAAAAUAGAGAAUAAAGAAAGAGUCCAUGUACAAAUUGUCAGGCAACUAUUGGUGGGUGGCAUUGUUUGGCUGUUGAUGAUCAAGGCCGACCUUAUGCUUGGGGGGACUAAAGAUAUCAGAGAAGGAAUUGACUAUUAUCUUGUACACCAAGGUUAAUUUUUCUUGUACACAGUGAAACUGAAUAAUUGGUUGUUCAUUGAGUUUAGAAAGAGACAUUUCUUGAGGAAUUCUAGACAAAAUACCGAGUGAAAGUUUUUUGGUUUGAGUCGUUGGCACUGUGAAUUGUUUUUUGAGCUAUUUUAUUUUGUUUCUUUAAAAUAAUCAGUAAUGUAGCCUUCUCAAUUACUAUUAUUGUAUUAAUAUUAGACGAUGAAUGUUAAAUCUACUAUUAUUUAAUCAACAGCUUGAAGUGUAAUUCUAUUA